CACCACGCAUCUCUAGGUCGACGAACGCUAAGAACUUUUUGCUUGUUCGUAUUCUUGCGCCCCAUAAUGCCUUCAGUGUGUUUGUGAAAUUCGGCAAAAGAGAGCGGCCGAGAGAUUGAGAAAAGCUUCUUCCGGACCAGAUCUGACCGCAGCCUCCAAAUCAAAUGAAACUUCUGGCGUUAGAAAAUCAGAGAGCGGAAGUCGAUUCUCAGAGGAGACGAACACUGUACCAUGGUUAAAGCUCUCAAGGAUGUAGCCAUGGAGAAAGAUGCAGCAAUUGUUGCCCAAGUAUAUGCAGUCUAGAUGUUCUUUUAUUAUUUUUCCCCUUUCCCUUCAUUUUGCUCCUCCUAGCAUUACUGAUGAUGUGAUAAAUUAGCACAGGACCUGUUGCAGCGGCUGCAACAUCGCAGAUAUUGUCCUCUUUAGGAUAUGUUGCAACCCAAGCGCAUCGCUACCAUAUAUGAUCCUCUUUGUGCUUUUCCUUUCGGGCUUCCGCUCAAGGUAUUUAAAAUGCGUAUCCGGUGGAAAGGUUUCUACACUCUUAUAAGAAAUGUUUAAUUCCGUUCUCCAAUCGACAUAUAAGGAACGUUUCGUUCCUCUCUCCAACCAAUGUGGGUCGCUGGCAACUGCCCGGUGUCUGACUCUAUACCAUUUGUAAUAACUCAAGCCCCAUCGCUAGCAGAUAUUAUUCUCUUUGGGCUUUCCCUUUUAGCUUUCCCUCAACUUUUUUUAAAACUAUCUACUAGGAAAAGUUUUCACACAUUUACAAAGAAUGUUUAGUUCCUUUCUCCAAUUGGAGGUGUCAUAUAGAGAUGUGGCAGCUAACACCUAGACUCCUCCAUUAACAGCUGAACUUCUCUCCUUCAAGGUUAGUCUCUUGCUUAGGAGGCAUUUCUCUGCACAUAUAUGAUGAAGUCUCAAUGAAGUUGGAAGUCCUUUCAGGAAGUUGAAUAUUUAGCCGUAUGUUAGUUUAAGUGAUUAUUGAUUAUGUCGAACUUGUUAUUUCUUCUAUAGGAACUUUCAGCUUUAAUCUGUUACCUUGCUUUCUUUAGCUUCAUACUUCUAAGUAAUUCAUUAUACUAAUGAUUUGAUCUUCCUAUAAUUUUGUUCAAGCGCCAACUUGCAAAAGAACAGAACAGAGCAGAAUCGCUAUCAGCAGAAGCAUUGGAGCUGUCAACGCAACUCCAGCAGACUACACAGGCAUAUAACGGGCUUACACGCCUGUAAGAUCCUCAAUCUCUUUCUCUCGUACAGAGUAUGGCUAUAACAGCCCAAGCCCACCUCUAGUAGAUGUUAUUCGCUUUAGUUCGUUACGUAUCGCCAUCCGCCUCACAGUUUUAAAACUUGUGAG